AACGAACGCUGGCGGCAGGCUUAACACAUGCAAGUCGAACGCUCGUAGCAAUACGGGAGUGGCAGACGGGUGAGUAACGCGUGGGAACAUACCCCUUGGUUCGGAAUAACUCAGGGAAACUUGAGCUAAUACCGGAUACGACCGUGAGGUGAAAGAUUCAUCGCCGAGGGAUUGGCCCGCGUCCGAUUAGCUAGUUGGUGUGGUAACGGCGCACCAAGGCGACGAUCGGUAGCUGGUCUGAGAGGAUGAUCAGCCACAUUGGGACUGAGACACGGCCCAAACUCCUACGGGAGGCAGCAGUGGGGAAUAUUGGACAAUGGGCGCAAGCCUGAUCCAGCCAUGCCGCGUGAGUGAUGACGGCCUUAGGGUUGUAAAGCUCUUUCGCCAGGGACGAUAAUGACGGUACCUGGAUAAGAAGCCCCGGCUAACUUCGUGCCAGCCGCCGCGGUAAAAC
rnacentral:rRNA from 1 species